UUAAGUUCAGCGGGUAUCCCUACCUGAUCCGAGGUCAACCUAGAAAAAUUAUUCCGCCCACGGGGGGUGAAAUGGUUAAGACCGUGCUCCGCGCACCCUUGAUCCAGUACGUGUCCCGUGAAGAACUCAAUGUACCGGGGGUCCAACGAGGCCGCCGUCAUUGUCUUUGGGAGGGGCGACGACCCGGAGGUCAUCGCCAA
rnacentral:misc_RNA from 1 species